GUGGUCUGCGUGGAGCUGUGGAGACUGUUGUUGUGUUGCAGUAGGUUAAACUGUUAAAUAUUGAAGUGUUGCCAAGGUCUUGAUGGAUAAGUGUUCCGAAUAGUUUGUUGUAUGGAAUACAUUGGUAAUACAAUGGCUGGCUUGAAGCUGGUGAAACUGCUACUCAGGGAGGCGUUUGUGUUGGAGGCGAUGGGUAUCAUGCCUUCCAAGGAUGCUGUGUUGACUGUUCUAACCAUGAGAAAAGGUGAGAUGCAAAACUGUCCCGACACCGCCAUCUCCUUCAACAAGCUUGGCCUUUUUGAAGAUAUCGGGAAGCAAUUGAGGAACUACCUGGCUAAUACCGAGACCUCGAUACAUCUCCCAUACCUCCGCCGCGGGGAGGCCUGUCUCGAAGUCAUGGCAAAGGCUACCUUUCAUUGCUUCUAUGAGCUCUGGGUGGAAUGCCAAAGAUUGCACGGUGAGUUCUAG
rnacentral:rRNA from 1 species